CCUACGGGUGGCAGCAGUGAGGAAUAUUGGUCAAUGGGCGAGAGCCUGAACCAGCCAAGUCGCGUGAAGGAUGACGGCCCUACGGGUUGUAAACUUCUUUUGUCAGGGAGCAAUUGAGUCCACGUGUGGUCUUAGCGAGAGUACCUGACGAAACAGCAUCGGCAAACUCCGUGCCAGCAGCCGCGGUAAUACGUAGGAUGCGGGCGUUAUCCGGAUUGAUUGGGUUUAAAGGGUGUGUAGGCGGAAUAUCAAGUCAGCGGUAAAAAUUCGGGGCUAAACCCCGUCGUGCCGUUGAAACUGAUGUUCUUGAGUGGGCGAGAGGUAUGCGGAAUGCGAGGUGUAGCGGUGAAAUGCAUAGAUAUCACGCAGAACUCCGAUUGCGAAGGCAGCAUACCGGCGCCCAACUGACGCUGAAGCACGAAAGCGUGGGUAUCGAACAGGAUUAGAUACCCGUGUAGUC
rnacentral:rRNA from 1 species